rnacentral:rRNA from 1 species
GGUGUAAACGCUGCAGACUGGUGUUGGAUCAUCGGGGCGUCCAGUGCCGGAGAGAAGUGUAAGUCUGCUACUGGGAGUACGUCCGCAAGGAUGAAACUUAAAGGAAUGGCGGGGAGCACCGCAAACGGGAGGAGCGUGCGGUUUAAUUGGAUUCAACACCGGGAAACUCACCAGCGGCGACUGUUACAUGAAAGUCAGGCCGAUGACCUUACUAGAUUUUCAGAGAGGUGGUGCAUGGCCGUCGUCAGUUCGUACCGUAAGGCGUUCUCUUAAGUGAGAUAACGAACGAGACCCUCAUCUAUAAUUGCUACUUCACCCUCCGGGGUGGAGGCACAUUAUCGAGACCGCUGGCGCUAAGUCGGGGGGAAGGAGAGGUCAACGGUAGGUCAGUAUGCCCCGAAUCUCUUGGGCUACACGCGCGCUACAAAGGGCGGGACAAUGGGCUACGACGCCGAAAGGCGAAGUCAAUCUCGAAACCCGUCCGUAGUUCGGAUUGAGGCUUGUAACUCAGCCUCAUGAAGCUGGAUUCCGUAGUAAUCGCGAAUCAAAAACUCGCGGAGAAUAUGCCCCUGCUCCUGCACACACCGUAAUC